UGGGGAAUUUUGGACAAUGGGGGCAACCCUGAUCCAGCCAUGCCGCGUGAGUGAAGAAGGCCUUCGGGUUGUAAAGCUCUUUCGGCCGGGAGGAAAUCGCAUCAGUUAAUACCUGGUGUGGAUGACAGUACCGGAAUAAGAAGCACCGGCUAACUACGUGCCAGCAGCCGCGGUAAUACGUAGGGUGCGAGCGUUAAUCGGAAUUACUGGGCGUAAAGCGUGCGCAGGCGGUUUUUUAAGACAGGCGUGAAAUCCCCGGGCUCAACCUGGGAACUGCGCUUGUGACUGGAAGGCUAGAGUAUGGCAGAGGGGGGUGGAAUUCCACGUGUAGCAGUGAAAUGCGUAGAGAUGUGGAGGAACACCGAUGGCGAAGGCAGCCCCCUGGGCCAAUACUGACGCUCAUGCACGAAAGCGUGGGGAGCAAACA
rnacentral:rRNA from 1 species